GGUUCACCACUUCCUCAUAAGGAGGUAGUAAAUAGUUUGGCAAAAACCCUAAAAUGGGGAGGUAGGGAGGAAAGAUUACUGCAUGGGCAAUGGUUCCAGAACAGACUGCAGGCUCACGCUAGACAGAUGUCUCGUCCCACCCCCAGCGUACCCACUAAGCGACAGCGAUGGCUCUUGGCUGCAGGCGGGGCAUGGGGCUCUGAGUGACUUUGCAAAGAGGGACAGGUUGGAAGUGACCCAUUCUAGUUUCUUGAAAUCUGAGAGCCGCUGAAGCGGCUUUGCAGGCAAGGACUUCUGCCUGUCUGGGGUUAAGGCAGAAGGUUAGGCAAAUAUGGUAAAUGGCCAAGAGAUUUCUGCCUGGAAGCAACCUGUUUCCACAUGCACAUAGUUCUCAUGUUUAUUGCUCAGACUGUGUCCUCAACCUGUGUCCUCAGGGUCAGGGACCCCAACUUAAGACUUUUCUUGACCACUUCCCGACUGCCCCUCCUCCGCCCUGGCACGUGCCAGACGUACACCAUGAAGAGGGCCUUCUAGGAGGUGAGAAAUCUGUGUUGUCUCUCACCCUAGUGUGGCUGGAGGUGGUCUGGAAAGACAAACCAAACCUCACCCUGAUUCAGAUCACGAGCGGGUGGCUUACCCGGUGGUAAGGGCGAGGGGCCUGCCAUCGAGGCUUGUUAAGAACAUGCCACGUGAGUUAUCUUUUGCUUGGAGGCAGGAAUGAUCGAAUUAUUAUAUAACAAUAAUUGCUAGCUUUUAUUGAGUACUUACUCUAUGCCAGAUGCACUUAACCCUCCUAGAGGUGGAAUUCCAAAUUUAUAACCACUUUAUUCUACAGAACGCACUGCAGAAUGGCUCUGGACAGGCUGCACUGCUGGGCCUCCACCAACCAUUUGAGAGGUCAGUGUAAGGAACCCCAGGAAAUCAGCCACACCAACGGCAUAAGGAAGUUCCUGCGGCAAAGGAACCUUAACCCAAGAGCGCCUCCACAGAGACAGGCCAGAUCAUUAA